ACACGUAGGAGGCGAACGUUAUCCGGAUUUACUGGGUGUAAAGCGCGUGCAGGCGGUUCAGAAAGUUGGAUGUGAAAGCUCCUGGCUUAACUGGGAGAGGUCGUUCAAUACUUCUGGACUCGAGAGUGGGAGAGGGAGGUGGAAUUCCGGGUGUAGUGGUGAAAUGCGUAGAUAUCCGGAGGAACACCAGUGGCGAAAGCGGCCUCCUGGCCCAUUUCUGACGCUCAGACGCGAAAGCUAGGGUAGC
rnacentral:rRNA from 1 species